rnacentral:rRNA from 1 species
GACGAACGCUGGCGGCGUGCUUAACACAUGCAAGUCGAACGAAGAGCGAUGGAAGCUUGCUUCUAUCAAUCUUAGUGGCGAACGGGUGAGUAACGCGUAAUCAACCUGCCCUUCAGAGGGGGACAACAGUUGGAAACGACUGCUAAUACCGCAUACGAUCUAAUCUCGGCAUCGAGGAUAGAUGAAAGGUGGCCUCUACAUGUAAGCUAUCACUGAAGGAGGGGAUUGCGUCUGAUUAGCUAGUUGGAGGGGUAACGGCCCACCAAGGCGAUGAUCAGUAGCCGGUCUGAGAGGAUGAACGGCCGCAUUGAGACUGAGACACGGCCCAGACUCCUACGGGAGGCAGCAGUGGGGAAUCUUCCGCAAUGGACGGAAGUCUGACGGAGCAACGCCGCGUGAGUGAUGACGGCCUUCGGGUUGUAAAGCUCUGUUAAUCGGGACGAAAGGCCUUCUUGCGAAUAGUGAGAAGGAUUGACGGUACCGGAAUAGAAAGCCACGGCUAACUACGUG